rnacentral:rRNA from 1 species
UACGUAGGGGGCAAGCGUUGUCCGGAUUUAUUGGGCGUAAAGAGCUCGUAGGCGGUUGGGCAAGUCACGUGUGAAAUCUCCACGCUCAACGUGGAGGCGCCACGUGAGACUGCCCUGACUCGAGUCCGGUAGGGGAGCGUGGAAUUCCAGGUGGAGCGGUGAAAUGCGUAGAUAUCUGGAGGAACGCCGGCGGCGAAAGCGACUCUCUGGUCUGUAACUGACGCUGAGGUGCGAAAGCUAGGGGAGCAAACGGG